GCAGUCAUGUCCGAGUGGUUAAGGAGAUUGACUCGAAAUCAAUUGGGCUCUGCCCGCGCAGGUUCGAAUCCUGCUGACUGCG
rnacentral:tRNA from 1 species